rnacentral:rRNA from 1 species
UGGGGAAUUUUGCACAAUGGGGGAAACCCUGAUGCAGCGACGCCGCGUGAUUUAGAAGGCCUUCGGGUUGUAAAAUUCUUUUCUAUGGGAAGAAAAUGACAGUACCAUAGGAAUAAGGACCGGCUAAUUACGUUCCAGCAGCCGCGGUAAUACGUAAGGUCCGAGCGUUGUCCGGAAUCAUUGGGCGUAAAGGGUACGUAGGCAGGUAAGCAAGUUAGAAGUGAAAUCCUAUAGCUCAACUAUAGUAAGCUUUUAAAACUGCUCAUCUGGAGGUAUGGAAGGGAAAGUGGAAUUCCUAGUGUAGCGGUGCAAUGCGCAGAUAUUAGGGGGAAUAACGGUGGCGAAGGCGACUUGCUGGGCAUGACCUGACGCUGUGGUACGAAAGCGUGGGUAGCAAACAGG